rnacentral:rRNA from 1 species
GAUGAACGCUGGCGGCGUGCCUAAUACAUGCAAGUCGAGCGAACAGACGAGGAGCUUACUCCUCUGACGUUAGCGGCGGACGGGUGAGUAACACGUGGAUAACCUACCUAUAAGACUGGGAUAACUUCGGGAAACCGGAGCUAAUACCGGAUAACAUGUUGAACCGCAUGGUUCAACAGUGAAAGACGGUCUUGCUGUCACUUAUAGAUGGAUCCGCGUCGCAUUAGCUAGUUGGUAAGGUAACGGCUUACCAAGGCAACGAUGCGUAGCCGACCUGAGAGGGCGAUCGGCCACACUGGAACUGAGACACGGUCCAGACUCCUACGGGAGGCAGCAGUAGGGAAUCUUCCGCAAUGGGCGAAAGCCUGACGGAGCAACGCCGCGUGAGUGAAGAAGGUCUUCGGAUCGUAAAACUCUGUUAUUAGGGAAGAACAAAUGUGUAAGUAACUAUGCACGUCUUGACGGUACCUAAUCAGAAAGCCACGGCUAACUACGUG